UACGUAGGGGGCAAGCGUUGUCCGGAUUUAUUGGGCGUAAAGAGCGUGUAGGCGGCCAUGUAGGUCCGGUGUGAAAACUCGAGGCUUAACCUCGAGAUGUCAUCGGAAACCAUUUGGCUAGAGUCCGGAAGAGGAGAGUGGAAUUCCGUGGUGUAGCGGUGAAAUGCGCAGAUAUCAGGAAGAACACCAAUGGCGAAAGCAGCUCUCUGGGACGGUACUGACGCUGAGACGCGAAAGCGUGGGGAGCGAACAGG
rnacentral:rRNA from 1 species